rnacentral:lncRNA from 1 species
AAUUUUUCAUUUGAAUCUGUGACCACUCCAUUAUCUUUCCAAUAGAUAGAUUCUUUUUUUUUCCACCUGAAAAGCAAACAUUGCUUUCUGUGGCUUGCAAACAAACAAAUGAAUAAACUUUGGGGUAUAUAGUUUCCAGACUCAGUGGAGCUCCCUCGGGGACAAUCUUGUAUCAUGGAGUUUUCCUCUCUUCCACAAGUCUGUCCUGUAUCUCAUUCAUUUACUAAGCAGGCUUUUAGUAAGUACAUUUUGUUUCAGUAUUGCUGAGUAUUAAGAUGACACAGAUGAUUCAGAUGUAGUUCUUGCCUUCAAGGAACUUGAGACUUGUAGCCAAGAGAUUUAUGUGCCAGUUCAGAGGAGGAAGAGAUUCGAUUAAUUUGACGAGUUUGCGUGAAAUGAGUGGGUAAAUGACAGUGUCAUCAAGUAUUGUUGGAUAUGGUCAAGAAUUGUGGUCUUCAGAGAAGUAAUUCAGUACCCUUCUUGAGAGAGGCCAAACUUCUUUUGCCUUUACAUCUCUCUGAGUACCUCCAAAUGAUUCCCUUCAAAACUAAACAAACAGAAUUUGGAGAUGGAAAUCUUUGAGGCUGAUGCAAACAUCAUUAGAAAUAUAUGCUCUUCUAUUUACUUGCUGCCUCCCUCUCUCUCUCUCUUUUUUUUUUUUUUGUCUUUUUUAGGUUCCCAGGCUAGGGGUCUAAUCGGAGCUCCAGCUGCCGGGCUACACCAGAGCCACUGCAACGCUGGAUCUGAGCUGAGUCUGUGACCUACAUCACAGCUCACGGCAACGCCGGAUCCUUAAGCCACUGAGUGAGGGCAGGGAUCAAACCCGCAACCUCAGGGUUCCCAGUCGAAUAUGCUAACCACUGCGUUACAACGGGAACUCCUAUUUACUUGUUAAAGAGAAUAAUAUACACCUUACCCAGUUUUGUUUAUUCGAUUUUUAUGUUUUUGUACGAUAUUAUAUUUUCAAGUACAGAGAAAUUUUCNUUGCAUUGAAUCUGUUUUUUUUUUAAAUUUUGUAACACUUAUAUCCUAGUUGAUCUUUUCAGUUUUAUUUCUCACUUUUUCUCUGUAAACACUUUAUGCUCCAUGAUCAUCCAACAUUCUUUACAUACUCUGUAUCCCCCACUCUCUGUCUUUGUUCACAUUAUUCUUCUCUCCAUCACCUGACACAAUUCUGUCUCAUGAUUUCAUGCAUAAAUCAGGCUUAGGUUUUGAAAUUCAACUAAAAUGUUGAUCACUCUAUGAAAAAGUAUUUUUUUUUUAAUCACCUUUCAGCUGGAAAUUCUUUCAGAUUCCUAAAGAGGUUGUCUGUACUUAUUUUUACAGAUUUUACUACUUGACACCUUAUGUAGUUAUUAUUCUCAACAUUUAUCUGGCUUUUUAGAGCUGUUUAAGGGCAUUCAAGAAGAAUGUUCUAGAAGUUCCAUCUCAUGUCUCCCAUAAAAGCCCCUGCUCAAGACUUUAGAUCUGGUCAGUGCACCACAAUGUCUAGCACGAGGUGUUUGUAUGUCUGGGGGCCAAGUGGGUGAACUGGAAGUCAAAAUGAUGAGGUUAUAAAAGUUCAUUUCCGAGCAUUGUGGUGCACUCCUGGGCAUGGAUCCAGAAAAUACCAUAAUUCGAAAGGAUACACACACUACAAUGUUCACUGAGGCACUAUUACAGUAGCCAAGACAUGAAAGCAAUCUAAAUGUCCAUCAACAGAGGAUUGGAUAAAGAUGUACAUAUAUGCAGUGGAAUAUUACUCAGCCAUAAAAAGUAAAAAAAUAAUGCCUUUUGCAGCAAUAUGAAUGGACCUAGAAAUUAUCAUACUAAGUGAAGUAAGUUAGAGAAAAAAAGGUGGAUAUGAGAUCACUAGUAUGUGUAAUAUAAUAAAAUUGAUACAAUAGGCCUUAAAAACAGAAGCAGAUUCAAAGAUUUCAAAACCAGGAGUUCCCAUUGUGAGUCAGUGGUAGCAAACCCGACUAGUAUCCAAGGAGAUGUAGGUUGGAUCCCUGGCCUUGCUCAGUGGGUUAAGGAUUUGGCAGUGCCAUGAGUUGUGGUGUAGGUUACAGAUGUGGCUCGGGAUCCUGUGUUGUUGUGUCUGGGGUGUAGGCCGGCAGCUGCAGCUCUGAUUCAUUCGACCCCUAGCCCAGGAACUUCCAUAUGCUACAACUGUGGCCCUGAAAAAAAAAAAAGAUUUCAAAACCAAGCUUAUGUUUACCAAAAGGGAGACGUGGAAGGGGAGGGAGGGAGGUGACUGGGAUUGAUAUAUACACACUACUAUAUAUAAAACAGAUGGGUAACAAGGACCUACCAUGUGUAGCACAGGGAAAUUUACUCAAUACUAUCUAAUAACAUAUAUGGGAAAAGAAUUUGAAAAUGAAUGGCUAUAGAUAUAGAUAUAACUGAUUUUCUUUGUUGGACACCUGAAAUGAACACAACUUUUUAAGUCAAUUAUAUGCCAAGAAAAUUUUUAAAAAAAAGCAGAUGAAGAAUUAAUACUGGAGAUAAAGUAAAAUUAGCUUUUAGCUUCUGAACUUGGAGCUAAGUAGCCUCAAUAGGAGGCAAUUUCCAUCGAUCGGUACACUGGUGACCAGGGUUAUCAUGUCAAUAGCGACCUGUUUCUGAUGGGAACAAUGCCAGACAACCCAGCAAUAUGUACAUAGUACCUCGUGGGGUCGUCUGGCAUUGUUCCCAUCAGAAAUCGAUCGUCUUUCAGAGUCAUGUUUCUAAUAAGAGAAAAAGGGGAUAGGUUACAAAUUAAUUAACCUUCUUUAGUCUCCAAUUUCAUCAUCCAAAGACAUAAUAGUACAUACGUCAUAUCUAUCAAGAGUAAAUGCAAUAAGAUGUACAAAACACUUGGCCUAUGUAAUCUUCAAUGAACUGCCAUUUUAUUGUUUAAUAUUAAUAAUUGUUAUUACAAUUUAAGAAUGAAGGUUCGAGUAAUUAAGUAAAUUAUUAAUCUCCUUAGAAACAGUGAAAGAUAUGGAAAAAGGUGAUAGGUAAUAGUGGUAAGGACGAAGUGGGCUUCAAGUCAGUAGAGAAUGGAUAUUUGUCAUGUACUUAACAAGACAAAGAGAUAGGACAUUGGACUUAAAGCUCAAGACAACUGGCAUUCAGGCAAGUAUUUCCCCACAGUGAUUUUGGACAAAUAUUUCAGUGGGCCACGGAUCCAUAGAAUCAUAUUUAAAAUUCUACUGUGGAAGAGUUAUUGCUCCCCACAUAGUUCACGGGCUCCUUUACAUUUCUCAGCUUCCUUCAUCAUUCAGUUGCGAAGAGUUCUGACCGGUAAACUGUGAUCAAAAGUCAUGUGUGUAUGAAAGAACAGAAGUGUGGUCUUCAAAUUAUUUCUUCCCUUGUCAUGGUGAUUGUAAAGAGUAUGGAUAGAGAUGAAGGAUCCACAAGGGGGAAUCAGUUUGAAAUGCAUGAGUUGCCACGUGGAAGAGAGUUAGCCAGGUAGAUACUGAACUCUCAGUGAGUGUGAAGAGUCUAUUAUGAGAACAGUAAAGACGUGUUCACAAGUUAAGCCAUUGAAGUGGUGUGUUUGGUAAUGGACCGGAAUGUAGCCUACCCUAGCACAAACACAUAGGAUUAGCUAACGUAUGAAGCUCCUUCCAGCCCUAAAGGUUCUCAUUCUGACCAUUAGGAUGAAUGGAGAAUGGGAACACCCUGUACGUGAACCUGGCUUCAUCCUGUGUGUUAUCACUCUGGAGCUUAGGCGUCACUUUUUAUAGACUUUUCAUCACAUAUAUGACUUAAGGACCGUGACAGUCAUCUUGACAUUGAUCCUUUUUUAAAAAACACAUGCACACUUACAUAUAUAGACAUGAAUAAAUAUUUCUGUUACUGCUUGUAAUCACUUUGUAUUCUUGUAUACAAAAUGAGAUUAGUAAGCAAUGGCCCAUGAAUUCAUUUGUUUUCAAAAUACCAACUUUGUGAAAGAGAAAAGUGGGAGGAAAUGAUUAAAUCAGGAUUCAGUAAGGCAUAAGAGGUGGAAUGAUUCAAGGACAUACUUUAAAUUGAUAGAGGUCGGAGUUCCUGUCACGGCUCAGUGGAAACGAAUCUGAUUAGGAACCACGAGGUUGCAGGUUUGAUCUCUGGCCUCGUUCAGUGUUGCCAUGAGCUCAGCGUUGCCAUGAGCUGUAGUGUAGGUCGCAGAGGUGGCUCAGAUCCUAUAUUGCUGUGACUGUGGUGUAGGCUGGCAGCUGUAGCCCCAAUAUGACCCCCUAGCCUGGGAAUCUCCAUAUGCUGCGAGUGCAGCCCUUAAAAAAGAAGCAAAAAAUAAAAAUUAAUAGAGAUUAUUAUAAAGUUUGCAUGUAAGUUUAAAAUGAGUAGAUAUGUGUGGCUAUAUACAAUUAGAGUGUUGUAUCUAGUACAAAGGUAGUGUACAAAUACUAGGGAUUCCAUUUUGCCCAGUCAUAUGAACCAACAGCAUUUAUGUUUUGCUAACAACAACAACACACAGAUACCCACAUGCUCAAACUCUACAACUAUGUAAGAGCUAAAUAUUACAAGCCUGAGUUUUGAAACAAAAUAUCUCAUUAUCUGGAUAAUUUUAGGAGAGUUACUUAGUAGUUCUAGACCUCAAUUUUCUAACUUGUAGAAAGGAAACACAGUGCAAUAGUAGUACCUAUCUCAGGGGGUUGUUCUGAGGAGUAAUCGAUAGUAAUGUGUGUAAAAAUGCAAAGCAUAAUGCUUGGCAUAGAGGAAGCACUAAUAAAAGUUAUAUAUCAACAGAAUUAAAUCACCACAGAGAAAAGACUAGCCUCAUGUGAUAGAAGACUAUUUACCUUUCUGGCUGGCAAGACCUUGUGUUUGAGAUGAUGUUAAGGUAACUUCUGUAUUGAUGUAUCAAUCUUGGACCAAAUUACUUUGCAAUUGAAAAUUAUUGCCAAUAAUUUUCCUUGACACAUACCUUUCAUAAAGAGGCUUUCCUAUAGAGCUAAACAUACUGCCAUAGUCUGAAAAUUGGCAUUGGUUUCUGCCUUUCUUCAACCAGCACAGCAGAGGCAGUACUUGCUCACUUCUCCAAAGGAGCAAGCUCAAAGUCUGACUUCCUACAGAUGAGUGAGAAGGGGUCUGACUGCCUUAUCAUCACUUGUGAUUUUCUUAUGUACAUUCACAGGGCAUCAUUUUUUGGAAGAAGUAAAACCAGAUCUGUUUUCUAAAUGCUUAAUUGUGUGAAAAAUGAAGACCUUUUGUCUAUUGCACACAGUAAUCGAAGCACUGACUUAAAAUAUGUUUCUCGUUAAAAUUAACACUAAUCAAAAGAAAGUUUGAGUAGCUCUAUGCAGACAAGUAAACUUCAAAACAAGAAAUCUUACCAGCAGUAAAGAGGAACAUUUCAAAAUGGCAAAGGAUUCAAUCUCGCUAGAAAAUAUAAUAAUUAUAAAUAUAUAUGCUCCUAAAACCAGAGCUUUGAAAUCCGUGAAGGGAAAUUUGAUAGAACUGAAAAGAGAAAUAAACAGAUCUGCAGUUGUAUUUGGAGAUUGCAACAUU